rnacentral:rRNA from 1 species
AGUGGGGAAUAUUGCACAAUGGACGAAAGUCUGAUGCAGCAACGCCGCGUGGAGGAUGACACAUUUCGGUGCGUAAACUCCUUUUAUAUGAGAAGAUAAUGACGGUAUCAUAUGAAUAAGCACCGGCUAACUCCGUGCCAGCAGCCGCGGUAAUACGGAGGGUGCAAGCGUUAUUCGGAAUCACUGGGCGUAAAGGGUGCGUAGGCGGUUUGAUAAGUCUGAUGUGAAAUCCUAUGGCUCAACCAUAGAACUGCAUUGGAAACUGUCAAACUAGAAUACUGAAGGGGCAGAUGGAAUUAGUGGUGUAGGGGUAAAAUCCGUAGAUAUCACUAGGAAUACCGAAAGCGAAAGCGAUCUGCUGGGAAGUUAUUGACGCUGAGGCACGAAAGCGUGGGGAGCAAACGGGAUUAGAUACCCCGGUAGUCCACGCCCUAAACGAUGAAUGCUAGUCGUCGGAAAGCUCGUCUUUUCGGUGAUGCAGUUAACACAUUAAGCAUUCCGCCUGGGGAGUACGGUCGCAAGAUUAAAACUCAAAGGAAUAGACGGGGACCCGCACAAGUGGUGGAGCAUGUGGUUUAAUUCGAAGAUACGCGAAGAACCUUACCAAGCCUUGACAUUGAUUGAAUCCCGUAGAGAUACAGGAGUGCCAUUUCGGUGGAACAUGAAAACAGGUGCUGCACGGCUGUCGUCAGCUCGUGUCGUGAGAUGUUGGGUUAAGUCCCGCAACGAGCGCAACCCUCGUCGUUAGUUGCUAACAGUUCGGCUGAGCACUCUAGCGAGACUGCCUUCGCAAGGAGGAGGAAGGUGAGGACGACGUCAAGUCAUCAUGGCCCUUAUGGCUUGGGCUACACACGUGCUACAAUGGGGCGUACAGAGAGUUGCGAUACCGCGAGGUGGAGCUAAUCUCAUAAAGCGUCUCUCAGUUCGGAUUGGACUCUGCAACUCGAGUCCAUGAAGCUGGAAUCACUAGUAAUCGUAGAUCAGCAAUGCUACGGUGAAUACGU